UGGAUCAUGCGGUUUAAUUCGAUGAUACGCGGCGAACCUUACCUAGGCUUGACAUAUAGCUGCAAGCCUCUGGAAACAGAGGCCCCUUUCGAAGGUGCUAUACAGGUGUUGCAUGGUUGCCGUCAGCUCGUGCCGUGAGGUGUACCGUUAAGUCGGGUAACGAGCGCAACCCCUAUGCUAUGUUAAAUGUACAUAGCAGACUGCCCGGGCAACCGGGAGGAAGGUGGGGACGACGUCANNGCAACUCGCCUGCAUGAAGUUGGAAUCGCUAGUAAACGCGCAUCAGCCACGGCGCGUUGAAUACGUUCUCGGGUCUUGUACUCACCGCCCGUCAUACCACGAAAGCUGGGGGCACCCGAAGGCUCUUUAGGGGGACGAAGGUGAAUUCAGUAAUCAGGGUAAAGUCGUAACAAGGCAUCCGUAGCGGAAGCUGUGGAUGGAUCACCUCCUUUCUGGAGU
rnacentral:rRNA from 1 species